rnacentral:tRNA from 1 species
UAGCUCAGUCAGUUGAGCGUAGCGCUAACAAUGCUAAGGUCGCUGGUUCGAUUCCCGU